AGGAUCAGAUUCCAAACCCCUAAUCUUUACUGAAUGUACCCCAAGGAUGAGGAAGUGUUUCACCAGCUCCUUUAUGUCUUGAGUGGUGGCCAUUGCAGCGAUUGUUACCUUCAGUUCGGACAGAUUGAUUCGGUCUUCCCUGUGCUCAGCUGGUGAAGUGGUAUGCCCAGUUAAAGUCGAUGUUCCCGGCUCGUGAGGAAUAGUUCACAAUACGGAAGGAGCUGUCACGUGACAACGAUCGGCUCACCAAUUACGUGACAGAAUGUGAUGGUAUAAGUAUGGCAAUGGUUUCAACAAGUCUCAUCCCUUGGUUGGAUAAAAUUCAAUAAAAAAUAUUCUUAUAUUAGUUAACUUUCGAACAUGUUGGCCUUUGUGUCAGUUUUCAUUUUGGUUUAUUGAAUUCCUUCUGCCUUCAACUGUGUUUCUUGUGUUAUUCCUCUUGUUUUGUUUGCCUUAUUGUUUUGCCUAUUUUAGUAUUGUCUUUUCCUUUAGAAAAGAACAAAAAGCAAGAACCAACCUAGGAAAUUAUUAUGACUUUUGUCAUUAAUAUAAAGAUACGUAUUCAACAUAAACCAGCCUAGACUUCUCAAUCUAUCCAAUAGCUGUCUUAAGGACUGUAAAAGAAAACUAAAUGCCACAUGGCCACUAAAUACCUGUCGCUCACCUGACCAUUGGGAGUGUGUCAUGAGUGCUGGUCAAGGGAAAUAUGGGCAAAAGACUGAAGACGUAACACAGCCACUAAUCAUGCUUCCAUUCCCCUGUUUGAAAUGGAGAAAAAGCCACAGGAAGACUCCUAAAAUCACUUCUGCUCACAUUAAUCAAGUCCCGCCCCUUCCAUUCCAGAAGAUAUUUAAUGAAACUAGAAGUCAAAGUUCAUUUGGAAAACAGCUUGCAGGAGAAACUGAGCUCCUGACCAGCAGAAGAAUUAUCUUUAAGACUAGCACAGCACGGCAAUUGCACUUAUAUUUCUUUCUUUGAGUUUUGUCCUUAUUUCAACAAGGACAUUAAAUGGGAUUCCCUCAGGACCCCAGCUGUUUAUGUAUUUGCUUUGAUAUAUUUUGUUCUCCACACUGAAAAUAUUUCAGAAAUCACAUUCCUGCAUAAGUUUGUUAGGAAAACGGAUGGAUAGAUAGAUGGAUUGGUCCAUACAUUGUUUGGUGGUAGAAUCAAGCAAGAAGUAGAUAAUGUAAUUAAUUUCAUGGAAUUAUUACCAAAGACACAUAAUAAAUAUAAGAAAAUAGAUCAUGAUUCAAUAAACAAGCUAAAUUACAAAUAAUGUACUUUAUACUAUGUAUUAUUUUUACUCUUCUUAUUAUUAACAAGUUUUAAGCAGUCUUAUCUUACAGACAGACCUCAGUAUGUGCAUCUCGGGAACUGCAGGUCUGACAUUGUGGUCAGCAACACAGGAGCG